AGGAAUCUCGAGGUGCGAGAGUACUUGCAACGAGUGAAGGCAAACGAUGAUUACAACCGUCAGAUGAUGGCGGCUAUGUUGGCGUCUUGGAGUAACCGCACGGAUCCACCACAAAUGGGACCCCCACCACCACCUGCGGGAGAACCCCCACACGUGCCCACGUUCGAUGAAUGGGUGGCACUAGGCAGUGAUAGUCCGGGGACCGGUGGCUCGACUCCUGCUCCAUCGACCCCAGUCACUCCGAUCUUCCAGAGUGAUGGUGGUCGCGGUGGCGGUUUUGGCGGUGGCGAUUUUGGCGGAGGUGGUCUUGGCGGUGGUGGUUUUGGCGGAGGUGGUCUUGGUGGUGGUGGUUUUGGCGGA